rnacentral:rRNA from 1 species
AUACGCAUCCUUUGCUGAGGAUACGGUUAACGGAGCGAAAGCGACGUUCAACCGCAAAAGAAGCAGAGGGGGCUUAGUGGUGGGGUGACUGCGUACCUUUUGUAUAAUGGGUCAGCGACUUAUAUUCUGUAGCAAGGUUAACCGAAUAGGGGAGCCGGAGGGAAACCGAGUCUUAACCGGGCGUUAAGUUGCAGGGUAUAGACCCGAAACCCGGUGAUCUAGCCAUGGGCAGGUUGAAGGUUGGGUAACACUAACUGGAGGACCGAACCGACUAAUGUUGAAAAAUUAGCGGAUGACCUGUGGCUGGGGGUGAAAGGCCAAUCAAACCGGGAGAUAGCUGGUUCUCCCCGAAAGCUAUUUAGGUAGCGCCUCGUGAAUUCAUCUCCGGGGGUAGAGCACUGUUUCGGCUAGGGGGCCAUCCCGGCUUACCAACCCGAUGCAAACUGCGAAUACCGGAGAAUGUUAUCACGGGAGACACACGGCGGGUGCUAACGUCCGUCGUGAAGAGGGAAACAACCCAGACCGCCAGCUAAGGUCCCAAAGUCAUGGUUAAGUGGGAAACGAUGUGGGAAGGCCCAGACAGCCAGGAUGUUGGCUUAGAAGCAGCCAUCAUUUAAAGAAAGCGUAAUAGCUCACUGGUCGAGUCGGCCUGCGCGGAAGAUGUAACGGGGCUAAACCAU